rnacentral:tRNA from 1 species
GGGCCCGUAGCUCAGCAUGGAUCAGAGCGGCGGCCUCCGGAGCCGUAGGUCGCGGGUUCAAAUCCCGCCGGGCCCGCCA